AAUCCGCCUGCUGCUCAGGGCCCUCCUCAGGGUGCCCAGCUCUCCACCAGCGGCUCCAUCGUCGGCUUGGGACGCAGAUGGCCUCAGAGGUCACCACCGGGGAGCGCAGGGAGGGGUCCACUGAGUGUCCAGGUCCUUGGGGGCCGCUCAGGGCUCGGCUGCCCUUCAUUCCCCCGCUGUGCUCACACACCCAGUGCUCACCCGCUGCAUCAGAACCCUGCUCCGCAGGAUACGGCCCUGCCGUCCUGCGGACGCUGCGUCCCCAGCGCCCACAGCAGAAACCGAGGGUUGUUGGUGCCGCGGUGGUCGAUGUCAUGGCACAGGCCGGCUGUCACCAUGGCGAAGGCCUCCAGGAGGGCCUGCACAACCCUGGUGAUUCUGGCAGCCACGUACCAUGAGCAGCGUGAACAUCGUCUGGGCCACGUUGAAGCCGUGGCGCCAGUUGUGGUAGGUGAUUCUCCGGUACCCUUUGCUGAUGGAGAACAGGAACCGCACCAGGACCUGGGGGAGCCGAGAGGACACAGGGCUCCGGCGGCAAGCGUGUAAGUCCCGCCAGAGCGGCACCUGUGGCUGACUUCACAGUGGAAGCCCUGCUCCGUGCCAUCAUCCCCACACCGUCUCCUGGACUUCCCGAUCUUCCCCAUCCCUGCGUUUCCCACUGGCCUCUGCUGGCCUUCCUGGGUAGGGGCUGCCACAUUGGCACCUAUGGGGUGGAGCCAGGUAGGGCAGGAGCUGAGAACAGCCCCAGCCUUCAGGGGCCGCCCAGCCUCCAUCCGACUGCCUGGCCUCAAGCUGGGAGGAGGACCCCUGGGGAUGCAGCAUAUUUUAAGAUGUUGGUUUUAGGCAUGGACAUUUGAAUGAGCAGAAUGUGUGGGCUGCAGGCUGGGGUGGGAGAACCGAUGUCCGCAGGGCAAGAGAAUGCUGGUCUCUCUUGCCCUGCGGACAUCGCCAGGAGGCUCUUCCUGCGGCCAUUGUGAUUUUUAGGGUCAGAAAAUUAUUUGGAAAUAUUUUUUAUUCUGCAAAUAUUUUCUAUACAUUUUUUCUUGAGUGUUUUCCCUUAGUAUUUAGUAAAACUUCUUUUGAAAAUGCUGGCCUGCUGCACCUGUUCUCAGAGGGGCAUGAGAAAAGAGGAUUCUCUUCCUAGGGCUGUGGGAAGCCCCUUGAGAUGUUGGAAGCAGGGCAGGGCAGGAGAACCCAGGGAGGGCACAGAGCUGUGGACGAGGGCUGGGAAAGCCAUCCCGCCUCCCCAGGGGGUCUCCGAGGAGUGCUGCUGUGGCCAAACCAGGGGGGCCACUUUGUGCUUUCUGUUUAGGUGAUGGGAUGCUUCUAUCUCCUCAGCACCCCACACCAAAUCCCCUGUUAUUGCCAGAUGAUGUGCCUAAUGAUCAAAUUGCUUGGAACUCCUAAUAAUAAAACUUUAAAUCUAUCCAUUC
rnacentral:lncRNA from 1 species